rnacentral:rRNA from 1 species
GAUAAACGCUAGCGGCAGGCUUAACACAUGCAAGUCGAGGGGCAGCAUAGAUUGUAGCAAUACAAUUGGUGGCGACCGGCGCACGGGUGCGUAACGCGUAUGCAACCUACCCGUCGCAGGGGGAUAAUCCGGAGAAAUCUGGUCUAAUACCCCAUAACAUAUGGAUCGGCAUCGGUUCAUGUUGAAAUUUUCGGAGGUGACGGAUGGGCAUGCGUAGCAUUAGCUUGUUGGUGAGGUAACGGCUCACCAAGGCGACGAUGCUUAGGGGGACUGAGAGGUUUUACCCCCACACUGGUACUGAGACACGGACCAGACUCCUACGGGAGGCAGCAGUGAGGAAUAUUGGUCAAUGGGCGCAAGCCUGAACCAGCCAUGCCGCGUGCAGGAUGACGGCUCUAUGAGUUGUAAACUGCUUUUGUACGAGGGUAAAGUGGGUUACGUGUAACCUUUUGAAAGUAUCGUACGAAUAAGGAUCGGCUAACUCCGUGCCAGCCGCCGCGGUAA